AAAGGGAUGGCUGGGAGAGUUAACACUUAAAUAAAAUAACAGGAUAGACAGCACUUUGGGCCUUGGGAAAGGAAAUCACAUUUCCAUGUCAAAUUGAGCUGAGGAAUUUGCUAUUUACAACAUGGGAACCAAUUCCUUUAAAAAUAGAAGAUACUGACAUCACAUUAGGUUAGGUUUUGGUAAGACACACAAGCUGCCCAUAACAUGCACAGCACAUACACAAUGUAGCCAAUAUUAUUAUACACAAUGUAGCAGAUAGUAUUAGAU